CUCUCCUUCAAAGGCAUGCUUUUUGUCUCCUAUCCUUGAACAGGUAAGAAUUGGAGGCAAAGAAAUGUGGAUUUGGAGAAAUCUGGGGCUAGUGUGUGCCUUGCAGGCUCAAGAUCAACCAUCACACAUAC
ensembl:snoRNA